rnacentral:rRNA from 1 species
GCAAAGUUGUGUAGUGCGAUCGGUGGAUGCCUUGGCACCAAGAGCCGAUGAAGGACGUUGUGACCUGCGAUAAGCCCUGGGGAGUUGGUGAGCGAGCUGUGAUCCGGGGGUGUCCGAAUGGGGAAACCUGGAAUGUCCGGAGUAGUGUCCGGUGGCCCUGCCCUGAAUGUAUAGGGGUGUGGGUGGUAACGCGGGGAAGUGAAACAUCUUAGUACCCGUAGGAAGAGAAAACAAGUGUGAUUCCGUGAGUAGUGGCGAGCGAAAGCGGAGGAGGCUAAACCGUGUGUGUGUUCAAGCCGGCAGGUGUUGCAUGUGCGGGGUUGUGGGGGCCUUGUGGUUCUGCUGCCGCAGGAUUGGCCAGUGAGAAAUGUUGCGUGAAGGUGAAGCGUCUGGGAAGGCGUACCGGAGUGGGUGAGAGUCCUGUAACUGUAAGCGUGGCACUGGUGUGGGGUUGCCCCGAGUAGCGUGGGACUCGUGGAAUUUCGCGUGAAUCUGGCGGGACCACCCGUCAAGCCUAAAUACUCCUUGGUGACCGAUAGUGGAUGAGUACCGUGAGGGAAGGGUGAAAAGUACCCCGGGAGGGGAGUGAAAGAGUUCCUGAAACCGGUCGCAUGCAAGCCGUCAGAGCCUGUGUGGUGAUGGCGUGCCUUUUGAAGAAUGAGCCUGCGAGUUAGUGAUGCGUGGCGAGGUUAACCCGUGGUGGGGGAGUCGUAGCGAAAGCGAGUCCGAUAAGGGCGUGAGUCGCGUGUUCUAGACCCGAAGCGGUGUGAUCUAUCCAUGGCCAGGAUGAAGCGUCGGUAAGACGUCGUGGAGGUCCGAACCCACUUCAGUUGAAAAUGGAGGGGAUGAGUUGUGGAUAGGGGUGAAAGGCCAAUCAAACACCGUGAUAGCUGGUUCUCCCCGAAAUGCAUUUAGGUGCAGCGUUGCGUGGUUCUUGUUGGAGGUAGAGCACUGGAUGGUCUAGGGGGCUUAUCGGCUUACCGAAAUCAGCCAAACUCCGAAUGCUGGCAAGUGUAGCGUGGCAGUGAGACGGCGGGGGAUAAGCUUCGUCGUCGAGAGGGAAACAGCCCAGAUCAUCAGCUAAGGCCCCUAAGUGGUGACUCAGUGGGAAAGGAUGUGGAGUUGCGUAGACAACCAGGAGGUUGGCUUGGAAGCAGCCAUCCUUGAAAGAGUGCGUAAUAGCUCACUGGUCAAGUGAUUCCGCGCCGAUAAUGUAGCGGGGCUUAAGUUAUCCGCCGAAGCUGUGGCAACCUGUGUGGUUGGGUAGGGGAGCGUCGUGUCAGUGGUGAAGCUGCCGGGUGACUGUGUGGUGGAGUUGAUGCGAGUGAGAAUGCAGGCAUGAGUAGCGUGUGACGGGUGGGAAUCCCGUCCGCCGAUUAUCCAAGGGUUCCAGGGUCAAGUUUGUCUGCCCUGGGUGAGUCGGGUCCUAAGGCGAGGCCGACAGGCGUAGUCGAUGGGUAACCAGUUGAUAUUCUGGUACCGGCUUGUCACCGUCCGUGUCGAGGUGUGUGAUGCUAAGCAUGUGAGCUUGUCUUGGGAGUGUUUUUGAUGCUUCUGGGGUGGGUGAGUGUGUGAACCGAUCAUGUAGUAGGCAAGCUGCGGAGGGACGCAGUGAGGUAGCUCAUCCCCGGUGAUGGUUGUCCGGGGCUAAGUGUGUGGACUGUCUGGUAGGUAAAUCCGCUGGGCGUGAAGGUUGAGGCAUGAUGGGGAGCCCAUGGUUGUGGGUGAGUGAGUGAUCCUGUACUGUCGAGAAAAGCUUCGUGAGCGAGGUGGCGGGUCCGCCCGUACCCUAAACCGACACUGGUGGAUAGGUAGAGUAUACCGAGGCGAUCGAGUGAAUCGUGGUGAAGGAACUCGGCAAAAUGCCCCCGUAACUUUGGGAUAAGGGGGACCUGAGCUGUCGUGCACCCGUGCGGUGUGGUGGCGGGGAGGGGCGCAGAGUCCAGGGGGAAACGACUGUUUACCAAAAACACAGGUCCGUGCGAAGUCGUAAGACGAUGUAUACGGACUGACUCCUGCCCGGUGCUGGAAGGUUAAGGGGAACUGUGAGUGUAUGCGUAGCGGUGAACUUAAGCCCCAGUAAACGGCGGUGGUAACUAUAACCAUCCUAAGGUAGCGAAAUUCCUUGUCGGGUA